rnacentral:pre_miRNA from 1 species
UUUCUACUCCCUCCGUCCGAAAAUACUUGUCUUCAAAAUGGAUAAAAAUAGAUAUAUCUAGAACUAAAAUAUGUCUAGAUACAUUUCCUUUUAUCCAUUUUGAUGACAAGUAUUUCUGGACGGAGGGAGUAUUUG